GCUGGCCUCUCCGGCGUCGGUA
rnacentral:siRNA from 1 species